GGAGUCUCUGCUAUUCUCCUGGCUCUCCUACUCGUCUCUGUCAUCCUAUGGAUCAUAAAAAAGAGAUCCCCCAAGCAACAACAGCCUGAGCCUGGAGAGAGACCGGACACUAUUGAACAGCUGCAAUCUGCAGAUGGCGAGGUCGCCUAUACUGCUCUCCGCUUUGUCAAACACAAG